rnacentral:rRNA from 1 species
AUAGAAUUUUAUAUUAACUUUACCUAGCGGUUAAUGCUGGUUUUUUGUUAAUAUUUGGUUGGGAGGAUUAUUAAAUUUAACAAACUUUAUAUCAUUAUAAACUUUGAUUUAAGAAAAUAUAAUGACCUUCAAUUUGAAAUAGUUAGAGUAAAUUACCUUAGGGAUAACAGCGUAAUAUUUUUUUAUAGACCUUAUAGAAAAAAAUGGUUGCGACCUCGAUGUUGAAUUAAGAUAAAUUUUAAAUGCAGGAGUUUAAUAAUUAAGUCU